AUGUUAGGUACCAGAGUAACAAAAUAUUAUCACGCAUCUAAAAUAAGAGAAGAGAAAAGAGGAACUGAACACACAAUAUUUUACGUGGAAACCCCUCAACAAAUAAAGGGAAAAAACCACGGGGCAAGAGUAGAGAACUUUCACUAAGUGGAAGAAAUUACAGGACCUCUCUCUAAAUACAAGGAGAGUACAAUUACCACUCUCUCUUAUAAAUAGGAGAAUACAAACUAACACAAACUAGGAGAAACCUCACAGGAGAAGCUAUUUUUCCUCUCUAUAUUUUUUCUCUCACUAUCUAAACAAGCUUUACUUGUUCUUGUGUUGUUACUGAUUUGGGAUACUGAACAAUGAUUCACGGCUAGCUAUUUAUAGGAGCAAAAUCCAUUGCCUCAACAACUUGCAUUUAAGGCACCAUGGACUUUAGAACAACAACCAACCUAUUUUGUUGACAAUAGUGCACCGAAAAAUUACUUUCAAAGACAAAGUCAUAUUGUCCACAUGUUUUUACUGCCAUGCAUGCUGUAACAAUUCAACAAAAUGUGGCUUUACUUGUUCACACAUGUUCACAAUCUCCCACUUAAAGUCACUUUUGUGAGUAUUCAAAGUCUCUCUACCUUGCCAACUCUAGUUGCUACGUUUCCAAUAGGCCAUACAAAGAUCGACACCAUAUAAACUUGUCAGUGUUGAUCGACUUUGUCAUUGCAUCUGCUAGGUUAUCAUUAGUGUGAAUCUUCUGCAUAUCCACGCUUCCUUCCUCUACUACUUCGCGAACAAAAUGAUAUUGAAUGCCUAUGUGUUUCGUCCUUGAAUGAAAAGCUGGAUUCCUUGCAAUAUGCAAGGCACUCUGACUGUCACAAUACACAGUAAUUUGUUCCUGCUUGUGCCCGAGUUCCUCCAUUAACCUUUGCAUCCAAAUAGCUUCCUUGCAUGCUUGAGUAGCUGCCAUGUACUCCGCUUCUGUCGUUGACAGAGCUACAACCGUUUGUAACUUGGACAACCAACUUACUGCUCCUCCUGCAAGCGUGAACACAUAACCAGUAGUAGAUUUUCUUUUAUCAUGAUCACCUGCAAAAUCUGAAUCAACAUAACCCCUGACAGUUAACUCUGAUCCUCCGAAACAUACCGCAACACCUGAGGUUCCUUUAAUGUACCUCAUGAUUCUCUUAACAGCAUUCCAAUGCUCUUUACCCGGAUCCGCCAUAAACCGACUAACCACUCCCACUGCUUGUGCAAUGUCUGGUCUUGUACAUAUCAUGGCAUACAUAAGGCUUCCCACCGCCGAUGCAUACGGUACUCGAGACAUUUCCAUCCUCUCCGCUUCAUUGCUAGGACUCAUACCUGAGGAUAAUUUAAAAUUCACAGGAAGUGGGGUAGAGAUUGGCUUACAGUCUUGCAUGUUGAAGCGGCGCAAGACUUUCCUUAGAUAAUUCUUUUGAGAAAGCCAAAUCUUCCUGUCUUUUCUGUCUCGGUGAAUUUGCAUCCCUAAAAUCUUGUUUGCUGGUCCCAAGUCUUUCAUAUCGAACUCCCUAGCCAACUGUGCCUUCAAUUCUUGGACUCGAUCUUUUUUGGGGCCUACCACCAAUAUGUCAUCCACAUACAACAGCAAAAUGAUAAAAUCAUUACCAUCAAACCUUUUGUAGUACGUUCAAUGGUCUUAACUAAGUCUGUUGUAAUCGAGGCUAAUUAUGAAAGAAUCAAAUCUCUUGUACCAACAUCUGGGCGCCUGCUUUAGACUUUACAGAGAUUUGGUCAACCUGCAAACCAAGUUUUCUUUUCCUUGUUCCUUAAAUCCUUCCGGUUGGAGCAUAUAAAUUUCUUCUUCAAGUUCUCCAUGAAGAAAAACAGUCUUUACAUCCAGCUGUUCAAGAUGUAAAUCCAAUGCAGCACACAUCGCCAACACUACUCUGAUAGUAGUAAGUCUGACAACCGUAGAAAAUAUCUCAUUGAAGUCAAUACCUUCUUUCUGAGCAUAUCCUUUUACAACCAGUCUUGCACGAUUCCGUUCCACUUGAUCAUUGCCAUCACGUUUGAUCUUGUAUACCCAUUUGUUUCCAAUGGCUUUCCGACCCUUUGGAAGUUCAACAAGCUCCCAUGUCUUGUUCCUAUGUAAGGCCUCCAUUUCUUCAUGCAUUGCUGUCAUCCAUUGAGAAGCAUCCGAACCAUUCAACGCCUCAUGAAAAGUUGACGGUUCACCUUCUUCAGUUAUAAGACAAUAUGCAUCAUGGCUUGUCAUAACAUAGUCUGAUUGCCAAGACGGUUUCUGCGUCUGACGCGUUGAUCGACGAACACCAUCAUUGACAUCAUCUGGUUCUUGUUCUUCGUGCACCGAUUCAGCUUCAGAAGAAUCACUUUCUUUGGAUUUUUCUUCCAUCUGCACUAUAGCAGUCUCUUUAGAAGUGCUGUCAUUUUUCUGCUCACUUUGCAGUUCAUUUUCUGCAAAGACUACAUCCCUGCUAACAACAACCUUGCGGGCAGUGGGAUCCCACAGGCGAUACCCCUUAACAUUGUCAGCAUAACCCAAGAAGAUACAUUUCCUGGACUUUGGGUCCAACUUCGUUCUUUCUUGGGAGUUGUACAUCACGUACACAGGACAACCAAACACAUGCAGAGAAGAAUAAUCUACUGGCUUUCCUUUCCACAUCUCCAUCGGUGUCUUCAAAUCAAUCGCCGUUGAUGGUGAGCGAUUUAUUACAUAACAGGCGGUUUUCACUGCUUCUGCCCAGAACGACUUGGCCAUUCCCGCUGUUUUCAGCAUAGCUCUUGUUCUUUCUAGGAGAGUUCUAUUCAUCCGCUCUGCCACACCAUUCUGCUGAGGUGUAUGUGCAACCGUGAAUUGCCUUACAAUACCCUCUUGUUUACAAAAUGCUAGAAACUCGCCAUCUACAUAUUCUCCUCCAUUAUCUGUCCUCAAGCACUUAAUUUUCUUCCCAGUUUCAAGCUCUAUUUGUGCUUUGAAUGCCUUGAAUACUGGAAACACAUCUGACUUCUUCUUGAUUGGGUACACCCAUAAUCUUCUGGAAUAGUCAUCAAUGAAUGACACGAAGUAUCUUGCUCCUCCCAGAGAUAAUUCUGGUGACUCCCACACAUCAGAAUGUAUCAAGUCUAGUAUGUGUUUGCUUCUAGUAGUUACUCUAGCAAACUUCAAUCUAUGUUGCUUGCUUAUCACACAGUGCUCACAGAAUGGUAAAUUUACUGUCUUGAGCCCGUGAAGGAGAUUGCGUUCCACAAGGACUUUCAAGCCACGUUCAGACAUAUGGCCUAGUCUUUGAUGCCACAUCAUCGUUGUUUCUUCUUGGCUUGCUGCUGCAACUGAUGCAUCCGCCUCUUGCAAUGUAUCUCCCAGAAGCAUGUAUAGAUUACUUGUGAUCUUUUCUGCUUUCAUCACCACAAGAUUGCCUUUCACUACUUUCAAGAUUCCACUUUCAGUGUGGAUCUUACACCCGAGAUCAUCCAAUUGUCCAACAGACAAUAAAUUCUUCUUCAACCCCUUUACAUGACGCACUCCUUGUAUUUUUCGAACAGUACCAUCAUGCAUCUUUAAUCUGAUAGUACCGACUCCAGCAAUUUCUAAGGCAUGGUCAUUUCCCAUGUACACAGAUCCUUCUGAGAUAGGCUCAUAAGAGAAAAACCAAUCUCGGUGUGGAGUCAUGUGCCAUGUUGCACCUGAAUCCAUUAUCCAGACAUCGUUGAGUCGUCUUUCGCCUUUAGAACUGGUUGCUGCUUCACUAUACAGGAUUUCCCCGUCAUCUGAGGUACUUGCAACACAUCCUUGAGAUGUUGAAGCUUCAGAAUUCUUCUCUCCAUUCUUCUUGAUAUUCCAACACUCCUUCUUUACGUGCCCUUUCAUGCCACAACCGUAGCAUUUGAUAUUCUUCUUUCUUCGAGAUUUUGACCUACCAUGAUUUUGACUCCCACUGGGGCCACGUUCCGUUGAUCUGCCUCUCGUCAUCGUCAAAGCCUCUGCUUGCUUUGAACUCUCUGACCUUUCUUCCUUAUUCUUGCGCCUGGAUUCUUCUUCAAGGAUUGCACCGGCGACAUCAUCAAAGUGAAGAGUAUCAGUUAUGUUAUUAUUUGUAAUGUUGAUGAUGAGUUGAUCAUACGAAUCUGGUAAACUCUGAAGUAGAAGUUCAGCACGCUCAUUUUCCGCUAUUUUGAAAUCAGAAGCCGUGAGUUGAGAAAAUAGCGUAUUCAGGGUGUUGAUGUGAUCCGUUACGGAUGUGGAUUCACCCAUUCGAAGAGUGUAGAGCCUUCUCUUUAAGAAUAUUCUGUUGUGGAGUGAUUUGACCUCGUACAAUUUUAUUAGUGUAUCCCAGAUCUCCUUUGCUGUCUUCUUUUCAGCAAUACUUGACAAUACCGAGUCCGCCAUUGCUAGGUGCAAAUUGGCAACGGCAUUAUCAUCCAUCUCUUUCCACUUUUCAUCAGUGAUAUCUGCAGGUCUGCCAUCUAUUGCGUCUAGACAAUUAUCUUUUCUUAAAAUUGCCCUUAUCUUCAAUUUCCAUAGGGAAAAAUUUCUCCCGUUGAACUUCUCUAUCUCAAAUUUCGCUGCCAUGGUUUUACACCAAAUAUUUUUCUUUCAAACUAGACCGGAAUAAUAAGAAUUCUUUUCUGAUGUGGAAGAUCAGUUUAAACCGCAACCACAGAGCAUACUAAGAUUUUUCUUACCACUCCACUAGUUUAUCACAGCGGAAUAACAGCUACGAACCAGGGGCUCUGAUACCACUGUUAGGUACCAGAGUAACAAAAUAUUAUCACGCAGCUAAAAUAAGAGACGAGAAAAGAGGAACUGAACACACAAUAUUUUACGUGGAAACCCCUCAACAAAUAAGGGGAAAAAACCACGGGGCAAGAGUAGAGAACUUUCACUAAGUGGAAGAAAUUACAGGACCUCUCUCUAAAUACAAGGAGAGUACAAUUACCACUCUCUCUUAUAAAUAGGAGAAUACAAACACUAACACUACCUAGGAGAAACCUCACAGGAGAAACUAAUUUUUCUCUCUAUAUUUUUCCUCUCUCUAUUCUACUAAGAACAAGUAGUUGUUGUGUUACUUUGUUCUGGUGUUGUUACUAAUUUGGGAUGAGUAGAAUGGUGCAAGGGACAUGCUAUUUAUACUAGUGAAAGAGCCAUGCCCCAACCAAUUGCAUUUAUGGCAGCGUGUGAAUUUUCAACUUUGCAUAGUAACUUUCCAUGUGAACAUAGAAAUUACAUGCCAACAUGUUUUACUGCCAUGUGAUAACACUUCAACAAAAGUGGCUUUACCACUUUCCUGUGUCCACAUAGUAGACGUAUAGAUUGACUCAAUUUCAGUUUAUAUUUUUGGAGUCCACUUUGUCAAGUGAUGUUUUAUGUGAUAUAGAAAGAUGCAAUUUGUUCCCAGAGAUUCAAAUUAAACAAGAAAUAAAUGGUUUGAUCCUUGAGUUAGAUUUUAGAUCCCAAUAUUUCUUCUUUAUCCCCUUCUUUCUUCUUCCUUUCAUUGAAGUUGCCUUAUCAUAAGGAUGUGUUUGACAAGCAAAAUAAGCUAUCUUACAGUUGAUAUAGCUUAUAGCUUAUCACAUGGACAUUAACAUAUGUUUUUAUUAAUUUAAUUAUCAUUCAUUAUUUACCCCUAAAUAUUUAUCACUGAAUAUUGAGUUUUAUGGUUUUUAAGAUUUUUUUUUUGAAGUAUCCUGAAUGCUAACGAGAAGGUUUGAGUGUACUACUCCUCCUUUAGAAGAAGCGGCAUUGGGCUUGAAAGAGGCCAUUUUAUUGUAUGGUGAAAUGGGAUUUUCCAACGUUCAUAUUGAGCUAGAUUGUAGGCUAGAACCAACAGCCAGGCGUAAUUUGGCAACAUCAUGUCAACUUGUAGAUCACUUUUAACUCAUUUUCCAAACUUUAAGAUUAGUUUUAUCAGAAGACAAGCAAAUUUUGUUGCCUAUACACCAGCUAAGGCGUCAAAGUUGUAUGCUGAUCGCUAAAUAUUUCAUUUGAUUUCAUCUAUUGUUAUGAAUAUUUGAUUUGAUUCUAUCUUACAUUACAACUAUUGUUAUAAAUGAAUGAAAUAAUAUAAGUUUAUUUUGGUAAAAAA
rnacentral:lncRNA from 1 species